AGAUGUGAGGACGAUCUUACUGUGCUAUCUGUUACUCCAUUGAUCUCCAGGGCUUAUUCAGCUGAUCUAACUAGGUAGGUGGGUGUCUCUCCUUCCUCAUUGCUCCCUGUCUACCACUCUUGGUGGAAGAGGAAGAGGACAACCUUGCCUGAUAGAGGAAGACUGCUUCCUCAGUCAAGGAUAUACUAGUAGCUGCACUCCCCUGCCAGAACCUCCAAAUAAGCUCUCAAAUAGGCAAAACUUCUUCACAUAUCUCUAAUAAUGGCAGUUAUACAUGUGUAAGACCCUCUCUUU
rnacentral:snRNA from 1 species